GAAAUGAGCCGAGAGGCAUCCCUGAAACCACUCUGCUGGGAGCUGCUCUGCUGAGAGCCCGGGUACGCUACUUCCUGAAGAAUAAGGUCAGCCCUGAUUUGUGCAAUGAGGACGGACUCACAGCCCUACACCAGUGCUGCAUCGACAACUUUGAGGAAAUUGUGAAGCUGCUCCUCUCCCAUGGUGCCAACGUGAAUGCCAAGGACAACGAGCUGUGGACGCCUCUCCAUGCUGCAGCCACCUGCGGCCACAUCAACCUGGUGAAGAU
rnacentral:sRNA from 1 species